AGAAAGAGAGAGAGAAAGUUGUGGUGAAGAUAGAGUACAACAUGGGUCGCCACCAUCCACUGCCGGAGAGUCGUGGAGCUUUUAGGCGUUUUCGCUCAAUAAACACACACAACACCUGGUCUGGGAAUCGAAACCGCGAUCCUCCGACCGCGAAUUCGUUGCCCAAAACACUGGGCCAUUGCGCCUC